UCCCUGAUAGCUCAGUGGGUAAAGAACCUGCCUGCAAUGCAGGAGAUUCUGGUUCGAUUCCUGGGUUGAGAA
rnacentral:tRNA from 1 species